rnacentral:rRNA from 1 species
CGCAGCAGGCGCGAAAACUUUACAAUGCGGGAAACCGUGAUAAGGGGACACCGAGUGCCAGCAUCAUAUGCUGGCUGUCCAGGUGUGUAAACUACACCUGUUAGCAAGGGCCGGGCAAGACCGGUGCCAGCCGCCGCGGUAACACCGGCGGCCCGAGUGGUGAUCGUGAUUAUUGGGUCUAAAGGGUCCGUAGCCGGUUUGGUCAGUCCUCCGGGAAAUCUGACGGCUCAACCGUUAGGCUUUCGGGGGAUACUGCCAGGCUUGGAACCGGGAGAGGUAAGAGGUACUACAGGGGUAGGAGUGAAAUCUUGUAAUCCCUGUGGGACCACCUGUGGCGAAGGCGUCUUACCAGAACGGGUUCGACGGUGAGGGACGAAAGCUGGGGGCACGAACCGGAUUAGAUACCCGGGUAGUCCCAGCCGUAAACGAUGCUCGCUAGGUGUCAGGCAUGGCGCGACCGUGUCUGGUGCCGCAGGGAAGCCGUGAAGCGAGCCACCUGGGAAGUACGGCCGCAAGGCUGAAACUUAAAGGAAUUGGCGGGGGAGCAC